GCAGGCGGCGGGCAUACAGAGUCCCCUUCGCGCACCCCGCCCAAGCCCCCCCGGAAUUCGAGGCCCAAACCCCGCCGGCUGCCGCCCCUCCGUGCCGGGGCGUCCCUCCUGCCGACCCCGUUUCUCCCCGGAGAACUAUUUUUAGCUUCCUGACGCGGCAGCUCGGCUUUGCAGCCACCAAGCCCGAGGCAGCCAGGCGCGCCAUCCCAGGGAGCGACAGGGAUCGGCUAGGGGGCUGCGGUCUGGAGGAGGGGCCCUUGUCAAGAACCUCAAAAGCUGAAUCCUUUCCCCAGAGGACAUCAUUGAGGAUCACUUGGGCCAGAGAAGCGUCACCGCAGCGGGCGAUCCAGGCCCAAGCCCCUCACCCACCCGGGAGGAGCCCGGCGGUGUAAACAGGCCUAGGGGUCCCCACUGGGAUUGGAGAGCCAAGCAUCAGCGGGGCGUGUCCCCCGCCGUCCCCACUGGCUUAGCCGGAGGAUGCAAACGCGCCUGGGAGUUUUCACUUCAAUGGAGGCAAACGGGGAUGCGUGUGUCAGUGUGUGUGCGAUAUACAUAUCACGGGCAAGUGUCUGACCUGAAAGUGUCCGCGACCAACUUGAAUUAAAUCCCUGGGGGUUGUUUGCAGAGACCCGGAGGAGGAAGUUGCCAAGGCCGACUUGGUGACCUGACUUGGUAGGGCCAAAGUUAGAAAAAACCAAACCCCUGUAGGACGUUGAGGCGGUCCAGGUCCAGGCUGCAGAGUGCCCACGCUCACAUCUGCCCCCACCUGGGGGGCAGGGAGCGGGGCCCAAGUGUCCCGGGAAAAGGCGGGAGCAGGGGGCGCAGGCUUAGAUGCGCGGGUUUCGGGCCGGCAGCUCGGCGCGCGUGGCGGUGGUGCGCGCCUCCGCCCUGCGCGGUCCCCGGGCAGCCCUAGCUGGGUCCUGAGCGUCCGGAGCGUGUUCCGGGAAGGUGACUCAGCGACGCGCUCAAGGGUCGAGAAACCCCGCGAAACUAGGGACAAGAGGAGGGAGCUGGGGUGUCGUCACCCUCUCGCAGCGCUGCGUGUCCGCCGAGGUCUGGUCUUGAACCUCCGGGUCCCCCACCCCCUAGGAACCCGGCGCGGGGAGCGGAGGGCUGUGUUCAGCCGCAGUGCUGUGGUCACGCGACGCGGGGACGCGAGCGGCGGCGGGAGACGGAGGCUCGGUGCGGCAGCCGGGCUCCAGAUCCCACCCCUCCUCUCUUUCCCUAUCCUCCAGCGAGAAGUCUGGGCUUUGGCUCCUAGAAGACGGGGGACGUGGAGCAGUGCUCUCCGAAAUCUCAGGUUUGGGGGGAGGUGGCUGCGGAGACGGCCAAGGCAGCUUCCUCCUUCUUCUCCCCCGCUCAGGAGGGACCCUUCCAUCAGGCCUGAAAAGCUGCCGUCUUAAACCUUGGAGUCUGAUGGGAAACUGAGGCACAGGGAAGGGAACGCCUGGCUGUGCAUGAGUCCGUGGUGAGAAAGCUCGCCUGCCACAGGAUCCCUGUCUUCCUUCCUGCGCUGCAGGCUAGAGCCCCUGGAGUCGCGGGGGGCGGAGUUGACCAAAAGCCAAGCGGGCAUGGGGAGGCGGGGCAGCCUGCUGGGUUCUUUAUCCUGUCACCUCCGGGGGACCCAACUCCCCUCCCGACUCAGGCGAGCCCAGUGGGAGGGAGGGGAAGGGCAAAGCCCUCUGGCCCUGGUUCCAGUGCGCACAAUGGCUCCUCUGUGCUCCCUGCCGCCUCUCCCUCGGCCCCCCUCACCUCCACGGCCUCUGCUCUGCCCCCUCAUUCUUGUCAUUCACCUCCCACCUCCCAGGCUGCCUCUCUGCAGGCCCAUACCGCCUCCCAGGCCCUGUCUAAAGAACUUUCUCUCCUCUCCAGAAACUCACCCAUCAGUGUCCCUAGCCCAAGAGACAGAAUUGGGCAAGAGCAAGAUGCUCUUCCUCUUUCAACGAUUGGGGAAACUGAAACCCUGAGAGGUGAAAGGUCUUCCCCAAGCUGCCAAACCAGUUCCCAACAGAGAAGCAACUCCAGGGGUCCUGACCCCCAGCCUGGAAGGCUGAGCCUACCCCCGGCUGACAGCUGCUGUUGGCCUGAUGGGUUGCUUGCCACAGAGCGACCCCAGUAACCCAACGUCUCAGAAAAAGUCUCCCCGAGAAAGAGGAAGCAUCUUGAAGCCUUCUCCAGGCUUUGUCCCCCAAGUCCUGAUUAAGCAACUAGCUGCUGUGCCCAGAGAGGCCUACUGUGGGCCUGGGAUCAGGCUUGACCUGACGGGGUGGCCAACCCAGAGCAGGUAAUGCCUGUCUCACAGUGGCAAGAGUCAGCCUCUGCCUCUGCCCAGCCACCGGCUUCCUCCUUUUGGGCAGCCUUCCCAGGGAGACACACCUGAGAACCCGGGGUUUUUUCUUCUUCAGAGAAUGAAAGCAUGCAUUCACCGGGCCUGGCCCCAGCUCUCUGGAAACUUGGAGCCAAGGCCACCAGACGGCAAAUGACUUGUUUUUAUUGGGAGACGAUGCCUGCCAUCUCACCCGUCCCUGAAGCUACCUUCCUGGGAGGUUUCGGCUCCGAAGGGACCCUGUGAUUACAUUGGGCCCACCUGGAAAACCCAGGAUACUCUCCCCAUCUCAAGAGCCUUAACUUAAUUGCACCUGCAAAAUCCCUUCUGUCAUAUAAAGUGACAUAUUCACAGGCUCCAGGGAUGGUGACGUGGACAUCUUUGGGGGGCCAUUAUUCUGCCAACCACAGAUGGGUAGGGAAAUAGUCUGGGAACUGUGUCCUCAGCUACAGAACCUUCUUUCUAAUAUUCCCCACCUCCCCGGCACCACCAAGUGAACACAAACCAGGAAGUUGCUUUCCCCCAAAGAAGCAUUUGUCGUGUGGGACUGAAAACACUCUUGCUUGGAUUGACCUGUGGUUCUAUAGACUUCAUGGCCUUUGGCUCUUUGGGCAGAGGUCCCUAUAAAGAAAAUUGGUUUCCAUUUUUAAAAAUUACCCAAGAGGGAGAAAAUGGCAUCUUUGCUAACGUGGUAAUUAUAGGAUUGCAAAACCCCAACUUUUCGCCUGAGGAAAGGUGGGAAGCAGACCAGCCCAUCCGUUUUCCCAUUUUCAGCCUGGCAG
rnacentral:lncRNA from 1 species